rnacentral:rRNA from 1 species
GAAUUUUGGACAAUGGGCGAAAGCCUGAUCCAGCAAUGCCGCGUGCAGGAUGAAGGCCUUCGGGUUGUAAACUGCUUUUGUCCGGAACGAAAAGCUUUGGGUACAUACCCUGGAGUCUGGACGGAACUGUAAGAAUAAGCACCGGCAAACAACUUGCAAGCAGCCGCGGUAAAACGUAGGAUUCAAUCGUUAAGCGGAAUUACUGGGCGUAAAACGUGCGCAGGCGGUUUUGGAAGACAGAGGUGAAAUCCCCGGGCUCAACCUGGGAACUGCCUUUGUGACUGCAAGGCUAGAGUACGGCAGAGGGGGGUGGAAUUCCGCGUGUAGCAGUGAAAUGCGUAGAUAUGCGGAGGAACACCGAUGGCGAAGGCAACCCCCUGGGCCUGUACUGACGCUCAUGCACGAAAGCGUGGGGAGCAAACA